AAACUAGGAUUAGAUACCCUAUUAUUUUAAUUAAUUAAAAAAUACUAAAGUAGUAAUAGAUAUAGGCUUGAAACUUAAAAAAUUUGGCGGUAUUUUAAUCUUAUUAGAGGAACCUGUUCUAUAAUCGAUAAUCCACGUUAAAUUUUACUAAAUUUUAAUAUUUGUAUACCGUUGUCGAAAGAAUAUUUUUAAAAAAAUUAAAUUUUCAAAAAUUUAAAAUAAAAUUUAUGUCAAAUCAAGGUGCAGUUUAUAAUUUAGAAGAAAUGGGUUACAAUAAAUUUAUUUAAAUGGAUUUUAUAUUGAAAAAUAUUAAUAAAGGUGGAUUUAAUAGUAAAUUAAUUUUAAUAUAAUUAAUUGAUUAAAGUUCUAAAAUAUGUACACAUCGCCCGUCGCUCUU
rnacentral:rRNA from 1 species